GACGAACGCUGGCGGCGUGCUUAACACAUGCAAGUCGAACGGAAAGGCCCUGCUUUUGUGGGGUGCUCGAGUGGCGAACGGGUGAGUAACACGUGAGUAACCUGCCCUUGACUUUGGGAUAACUUCAGGAAACUGGGGCUAAUACCGGAUAGGAGCUCCUGCUGCAUGGUGGGGGUUGGAAAGUUUCGGCGGUUGGGGAUGGACUCGCGGCUUAUCAGCUUGUUGGUGGGGUAGUGGCUUACCAAGGCUUUGACGGGUAGCCGGCCUGAGAGGGUGACCGGCCACAUUGGGACUGCGAUACGGCCCAGACUCCUACGGGAGGCAGCAGUGGGGAAUAUUGCACAAUGGGCGGAAGUCUGAUGCAGCAACGCCGCGUGCGGGAUGACGGCCUUCGGGUUGUAAACCGCUUUCGCCUGUGACGAAGCGUGAGUGACGGUAAUGGGUAAAGAAGCACCGGCUAACUACGUG
rnacentral:rRNA from 1 species